GGAGGAUUAGCUCAGCUGGGAGAGCACCUGCCUUACAAGCAGGGGGUCGGCGGUUCGAUCCCGUCAUUUUGGCCCG
rnacentral:tRNA from 1 species